GGUUUUGCUGGAAGCCAGGUGGCGAGGUUCUCGCAAAAGGGUGGGAUGCAGGAGGGGGCAAGUUAGAAAAGUGCUACUUUCGGUCUUUGUUUGUAUUGUAACUAAUGUUUCAGGGCACUGAUAAUCAGAUUAACGAAUUUUCUUUUUCUUCUGCCCUUCAUUUGUUUUUUGGGGAGAGAGCGGGGAGGAGAUGUGCCUGUGCCUGCAAUUAGUAAUAUCUCUUCUUCCCUAGUUAUUAACAAGGAGCAGUCCAUUGGGUAUCAUGCUAAUUUUUACGUGGGCACAGGGCACAGAGUACCUUUUGGGAGACAAGUGGGACACAGUACUGAAGAUUGGCUCCAUCAAGCAAUGAAGAAAUAGAAACAUACGAUAAUGCGUAUAUAUGGCUACGGAUGAAAUGGAGGAGGCAAAAGACACGUUUAUUUCGCUUUACCCUGCAUUGAUAUCAGUAAAAGUCACAAUUUGUGUCCUGACCUGCUCUGGACAGCUUGUUUCACUUUCGCAAAGCAAGCUGCAAGUUUGUGAGAUGCCCUCUGGAGAGGUACACAUAGUAAGAACCAAGGGAGGCCUUCUGGCCAACAGCUCACGAGGAACCAAGGCCUCAGUCCAGCAGCUAUGAAGAAUUGACUCUUUAAAAAAGAUCCUUUCCAGUUGAGAAGUCACCUGGAGAAAAAAAUCCAAAUGCAAACGAAGUACAUUCCUUAUGUCUAUGCUACUCAAGUUAGAAUGCCAGUGCGGUGCCGAGUGGCUGCGGUGAGGACCAGAAUCCACUGCUUUCUCCAGUGCUUUGUUUCUGACUGCUAUGCAACUAGUUGUCCAAUUUCCACUCCCAUUUUACCGUUGACUGUAAGAGAGCUGGACUAAAUGGGAGUUAUUCAUUUAGCUGGACGAAGUGGGAAUUAACUCAUUAAGCUAAAUCUGAAGUCCUGAUGUCUAAGGGUGAGGUCCAAUUUUGAUCUUGUGUUGUCCUCUGAAGUACUGUGAGUUUUAUGAUUACCCUGGACCUUUAUUCCUUAUGUCUCCAUCACUAUCAAUUCUGCUGUCAAUUACUCUGUUAGUCAAAUUAGGACCAAGAAGUAUUGAUUCCUCCAAUUUCUAGAAUAAUAAUUGCAAUCUGUAAGGCCAUACAUCUGGUUCACCUGGGCAGCAUGUUAAAAAUGUACAUUUCUGGCCUUUCACCAGACCUACUG